rnacentral:lncRNA from 1 species
UAGGGUUUCAACGUUCAAGUGUCUGUAAAGCGAGAAAAUUUUCAUUAUUAUGAAAAAAAAUUGAUUAAGAACCUUGUUGAAUGUGACUUUUGUGAUAUCGUCUUCCAAAUUAGAUCCUUAUCUUUUUUUUUAUACGCCAUCUGAUCAGCAAGAUGCACGAAUAAAAAUUUACAAAUUCCCUCCAAAUAAGUAGAUUAUUUUAAAAAGCUGUGCCUUCACAUAUAUUUUUAUACAUGUAAUGAUGUUUGUGGCAAUUAUAAACGUAUAUAAAAAGAGAGUAUAUGUAUAUAGAUGGAGUUUACAUCUGACUUUGAACGAAUUAAAGUACUAAGAGUAUAUAAUUCAUUUUUUAAAGAAUCAUUCGUUUGUAAUUUAAGAUACAGUCCCAUUUAAUUAAUUGUUUUUACUACAUUAUCAUGUUUUUCAACAAUCGCAAUAUACACGGAAAUUUGUUAUAUUUGAUUCGAUAUUUUACUUUGUGUAUACGUUGAGCUCGCGACGCAUAUGUAAUAUGAUAUAACGCAAAUAUUUAGGGUGUGUUACUUUACAAUACAGCUAGAUAAUACAAG